UAACGAUAAAGCGGGUGAAAAGCCCGCUCGCCGGAAGACCAAGGGUUCCUGUCCAACGUUAAUCGGGGCAGGGUGAGUCGACCCCUAAGGCGAGGCCGAAAGGCGUAGUCGAUGGGAAACAGGUUAAUAUUCCUGUACUUGGUGUUACUGCGAAGGGGGGACGGAGAAGGCUAUGUUGGCCGGGCGACGGUUGUCCCGGUUUAAGCGUGUAGGCUGGUUUUCCAGGCAAAUCCGGAAAACCAAGGCUGAGGCGUGAUGACGAGGCACUACGGUGCUGAAGCAACAAAUGCCCUGCUUCCAGGAAAAGCCUCUAAGCAUCAGGUAACAUCAAAUCGUACCCCAAACCGACACAGGUGGUCAGGUAGAGAAUACCAAGGCGCUUGAGAGAACUCGGGUGAAGGAACUAGGCAAAAUGGUGCCGUAACUUCGGGAGAAGGCACGCUGAUAUGUAGGUGAAGCGACUUGCUCGUGGAGCUGAAAUCAGUCGAAGAUACCAGCUGGCUGCAACUGUUUAUUAAAAACACAGCACUGUGCAAACACGAAAGUGGACGUAUACGGUGUGACGCCUGCCCGGUGCCGGAAGGUUAAUUGAUGGGGUUAGCGGUAACGCGAAGCUCUUGAUCGAAGCCCCGGUAAACGGCGGCCGUAACUAUAACGGUCCUAAGGUAGCGAAAUUCCUUGUCGGGUAAGUUCCGACCUGCACGAAUGGCGUAAUGAUGGCCAGGCUGUCUCCACCCGAGACUCAGUGAAAUUGAACUCGCUGUGAAGAUGCAGUGUACCCGCGGCAAGACGGAAAGACCCCGUGAACCUUUACUAUAGCUUGACACUGAACAUUGAGCCUUGAUGUGUAGGAUAGGUGGGAGGCUUUGAAGUGUGGACGCCAGUCUGCAUGGAGCCGACCUUGAAAUACCACCCUUUAAUGUUUGAUGUUCUAACGUGGGCCCCUAAUCGGGGUUGCGGACAGUGUCUGGUGGGUAGUUUGACUGGGGCGGUCUCCUCCUAAAGAGUAACGGAGGAGCACGAAGGUUGGCUAAUCCUGGUCGGACAUCAGGAGGUUAGUGCAAUGGCAUAAGCCAGCUUGACUGCGAGCGUGACGGCGCGAGCAGGUGCGAAAGCAGGUCAUAGUGAUCCGGUGGUUCUGAAUGGAAGGGCCAUCGCUCAACGGAUAAAAGGUACUCCGGGGAUAACAGGCUGAUACCGCCCAAGAGUUCAUAUCGACGGCGGUGUUUGGCACCUCGAUGUCGGCUCAUCACAUCCUGGGGCUGAAGUAGGUCCCAAGGGUAUGGCUGUUCGCCAUUUAAAGUGGUACGCGAGCUGGGUUUAGAACGUCGUGAGACAGUUCGGUCCCUAUCUGCCGUGGGCGCUGGAGAACUGAGGGGGGCUGCUCCUAGUACGAGAGGACCGGAGUGGACGCAUCACUGGUGUUCGGGUUGUCAUGCCAAUGGCACUGCCCGGUAGCUAAAUGCGGAAGAGAUAAGUGCUGAAAGCAUCUAAGCACGAAACUUGCCCCGAGAUGAGUUCUCCCUGAGACUUAGAGUCUCCUGAAGGAACGUUGAAGACGACGACGUUGAUAGGCCGGGUGUGUAAGCGCAGCGAUGCGUUGAGCUAACCGGUACUAAUGAACCGUGAGGCUUAACCUU
rnacentral:rRNA from 1 species